CUCGUAGGCGGUUUGUCGCGUCUGCUGUGAAAACUCGAGGCUCAACCUCGGGCUUGCAGUGGGUACGGGCAGACUAGAGUGCGGUAGGGGUGACUGGAAUUCCUGGUGUAGCGGUGGAAUGCGCAGAUAUCAGGAGGAACACCGAUGGCGAAGGCAGGUCACUGGGCCGCAACUGACGCUGAGGAGCGAAAGCAUGGGGAGCGAACA
rnacentral:rRNA from 1 species